UACGUAGGGUGCGAGCGUUGUCCGGAAUUAUUGGGCGUAAAGAGCUUGUAGGCGGUCUGUCGCGUCUGCUGUGAAAAUCCGGGGCUCAACCCCGGACUUGCAGUGGGUACGGGCAGACUAGAGUGUGGUAGGGGAGACUGGAAUUCCUGGUGUAGCGGUGAAAUGCGCAGAUAUCAGGAGGAACACCGAUGGCGAAGGCAGGUCUCUAGGCCACUACUGACGCUGAGAAGCGAAAGCAUGGGGAGCGAACAGG
rnacentral:rRNA from 1 species